rnacentral:rRNA from 1 species
GUCCACGCCCUAAACGAUGUCAACUGGUUGUUGGGGAUUUAUUCUCUUAGUAACGAAGCUAACGCGUGAAGUUGACCGCCUGGGGAGUACGGUCGCAAGAUUAAAACUCAAAGGAAUUGACGGGGGCCCGCACAAGCGGUGGAUGAUGUGGAUUAAUUCGAUGCAACGCGAAAAACCUUACCUACGCUUGACAUGUCCGAAAGGUUCCAGAGAUGGGAUUGUGCUCGAAAGAGAAUCGGAACACAGGUGCUGCAUGGCUGUCGU